GCCGGGCAUGGUGGCGCAUGCCUGUAGUCCCAGAUACUAGGGAGGCUGAGGCAGGAGAAUUGCUUGAACCUAGGAGGCAGAGGUUGCAGUGAGCCGAGAUCGCGCCACUGCACUCCAGCCUGGGCAACAGAGCGAGACUCUGUCUCAA
ensembl:misc_RNA Metazoa_SRP Metazoan signal recognition particle RNA